UAUAAAUGCAUUGGCAUGCG
rnacentral:misc_RNA from 1 species